GUAACGAGGGCGCCGGCAGCAUUCGAUCACUUCGGCUUGGGUCUCCACCAGCAAAGGCCCAAGUGAGCAUCUAGAAUGGAGCCCCUAAUUCUAGUAGGCGAAGGACUGGUGUUCCUGCAUCUGCAAUGGCUUCCUGGUUAGCCAUUAGGUGGAAUAUACAAACACUGGACUAAGCUGAAAUUUGAUAUUGUUAGCGGCAACUUAAACCUGCCUCUUGAUGGGAGGGUUAUGUCCAGGUGCAGCAGAUACUGACUCCUGACUGAGAAGACCACCUUAGGUUGAAAUGGGGAUUUUAUCCUGGUCGCUGGCCUUCUUGGCCGUGUAUCUUCAGUGACGUAGUCUCAACCUGACCUUCUAGACCUUCCAGAAUGAUGUAGGAUCAUCUCUAGGUUCCUCGAUGUCGAGUGAAUAUAAACUGGCUCAGUGAAUAUGAACUGGCUCUGAAGUUUAGGUCCUCGGGGCUUGCCAAGAUUCUCCAGUAAAGUGGCUGAAAGAAAAUAAAAGGUCUUGAUGUGUUUGUAAAUGCAUAUGAUGCAUUGGUCAACAUGGUGGGAGUGAACCCUUAAGUGAAUGCACACGAGCCUUCUGAUAAGCAGAACCUACAGCUUCCAAUGCAGCAGAGGACCAGGAUGUAUGGCCACUUGUUUAAAGGAAGGGAACUGACUUGCUCCUGAGUAGGAAGUUCCAGAUGAAAGAAUAAGAAUUUAUGGGAUUGAGUUUGUAUCAAGACCCUGCUGUAUUUUUAUACCAAUAAAAGCUGCCUUGUAUGAAUGCUUCAAA